rnacentral:rRNA from 1 species
UACGAAGGGGGCUAGCGUUGUUCGGAAUUACUGGGCGUAAAGCGUGCGCAGGCGGCUUCGCAAGUCAGACGUGAAAUCCCCGGGCUUAACCUGGGAAUGGCGUUUGAAACUACGGAGCUGGAGUAUGGCAGAGGGGGGUGGAAUUCCACGUGUAGCGGUGAAAUGCGUAGAUAUGUGGAGGAACACCGAUGGCGAAGGCAGCCCCCUGGGCCAAUACUGACGCUCAUGCACGAAAGCGUGGGGAGCAAACAGG